GACGAACGCUGGCGGCGUGCCUAACACAUGCAAGUCGAGCGAUGAAAUCCCUUCGGGGAUGGAUUAGCGGCGGACGGGUGAGUAACACGUGGGUAACCUGCCUCAAAGUGGGGGAUAGCCUUCCGAAAGGAAGAUUAAUACCGCAUAAUAUUAGAUUUUCGCAUGAAGAACUAAUUAAAGAAGUAAUUCGCUUUGAGAUGGACCCGCGGCGCAUUAGCUAGUUGGGGAGGUAAUGGCUCACCAAGGCGACGAUGCGUAGCCGACCGGAGAGGGUGAUCGGCCACAUUGGAACUGAGACACGGUCCAGACUCCUACGGGAGGCAGCAGUGGGGAAUAUUGCACAAUGGGGGAAACCCUGAUGCAGCAACGCCGCGUGAGUGAUGAAGGUCUUCGGAUUGUAAAGCUCUGUCUUUUGGGACGAUAAUGACGGUACCAAAGGAGGAAGCCUCGGCUAACUACGUGCCAGCAGCCGCCGUAAUAC
rnacentral:rRNA from 1 species